rnacentral:rRNA from 1 species
UACGUAGGGACCAAGCGUUGUUCGGAUUUACUGGGCGUAAAGGGCGCGUAGGCGGCGUGACAAGUCAAUUGUGAAAUCUCCGGGCUUAACUCGGAACGGUCAAUUGAUACUGUUGUGCUAGAGUACAGAAGGGGCAAUCGGAACUCCUGGUGUAGCGGUGGAAUGCGCAGAUAUCAGGAAGAACACCGGUGGCGAAGGCGGCUCUCUGGGCCUUACCUGACGCUGAGGAGCGAAAGCGUGGGUAGCGAACAGG